UGAUGCCGGGAAACAUGGAUCCAUCUGAAAUGGUAAGUGACAGGCACAGCAAUGUGUCGGGUAUCUGCUCAGGCAGGCAGUGGAGCUGCACCCCCGCCUACUUCCACGCGUGUACUGGACGGCCAGCCCUCUUGCUGUCACCAUGGAAGCAGUGGGAAAUCGUUACAGCUUUCAAAGACACUUCAGGGUAGGAGCUGGGAAAUAGCCUCUUCAAAUUGUGUGUUGUAGACCCUUCACAGUCAAUUCAGACCAGCACCCUCAGCUGAUGGACUGCCGGCCCCGGGCAGAAAGCCCUGGAGGUGGGAGGGUUCUCUCAUACUUGCGGCCUCGGAAAUGCAUGCUCUACUCUUCUGCAAGGCAGCUGGAGCCCGGAGGAGAAAGCGUGUGUAAGAAUCGGAGUGUCCAGCUUUGUAUCUUGACUAUAACCUUCCCAUGGCUCUCAACCCUGGAAAAGACGUUUCCUCUCUCCAGAGGGCAUUUCCUUGUCUAUCACAGCAGGGGUGUCAUGGGCUGUGGUAGCUAUUGUUGUGUGGUCUUCCCAGAAUGUACGCUUAUCUCCUUUGUUUUGGGUACUCUCCCUUUUGUUUUGGGGAAACUCUCUUCUCCACACACUCACCCUUGACUUGAGGGCGCACCCGAGACAAGGGCCGGGUCACGCAUGGUGGCCCACCCCCCGGCCAGUGAGGAUUUCAGGAAAUCUGACUCCAGCAGAGCCAAUAAGACUGUCUGGGUUCUAAAUUUGCUCUGUCACUUGUAAGCUGUGUCAACUUGGAUAGCGUCCUUAACGCCGCCAGAUCUCCACUUUCUCAGCAGAGAUGAUAACAGCAAUUCUCAAGGAAUUGUGUAACUUCACGGAAGGCUACAAAAUUGGCGAUGUGAAGUUGAAGACGCCAGGACCAUCCUGCCUGGCAGCAGAAAAAAGCCAGCCACAAGAGGAGAGAACACAGAUAGACAAAGAAAAACAAAACCGUGUGACGGUAAAAGAGACAGAGUCCUGGUAAUUCUAUAGGAAUGACUUGAUGCAACCAGACCUGAAUCUCAGCCUCUGGAAAGGCCAGUUACAUGGGUUGAUGAACGCUUCUCUCGUUCUAAAGGCAGUUUGAAUUGGGUUUUUUUCGACUUUCAAAUCAACACAAGGGGAUCUGAUUAAAUAAUUUCUAUGGGUUU